rnacentral:tRNA from 1 species
GGAUUGUGGCUCAGUGGUAGAGCACCUGCCUCACACACAUGAGGCACUGGGUUCAGUCCUUAGCACCA